rnacentral:rRNA from 1 species
GACGAACGCUGGCGGCGUGCCUAAUACAUGCAAGUAGGACGUAGUUGCGAAAGGGUGAGUAACGCGUAGGUAACUACCUAUUAGAGGGGGAUAACUAUUGGAAACGAUAGCGAAUACCGCAUACUAGUAGAUGGACCUGCGUUGUAUUAGCUAGGAGGUAGGGUAAUGGCCUACCUAGGCAACGAUACAUAGACGCCAUGGCAGGGUGAUCGGCCACACGGGGCAUUAGACGCGGCCACGACUUCUACGGGAGGCAGAAGUAGGGAAUCUUCGGCAAUGGGGGGAACCCUGACCGAGCAACUCCGCGUGAGAGAAGAAGGUUUUCGGAUCGUAAAGCUCUGUUGUUACGGAAGCGGUACUUAACCAGAAAGAGACGGCUAACUACGUGCCAGCAGCCGCGGUAAUUC